AUCACGUCUCGGUCUUUUGACGAAGAUCAUGUGCAGUGUCUGUUCUUGUCAGAUUUAAUAUCUGAUAUGUCUCUGACUUAGGAGUAAAUAUUAAUCAUAUUUUUGCAGGAAUUUUUUUGAUCUUUGAGCUUGCUUCAUUUACUUCGCACAUCGUCCUGCUGUUACAUCGUUUCUGGGAAUGGUGCACCUCAC